CACGUAGGGCGCAAGCGUUGUCCGGAAUUAUUGGGCGUAAAGAGCUCGUAGGCGGUCUGUUGCGUCCGCUGUGAAAACUCGGGGCUUAACCCCGAGCCUGCAGUGGAUACGGGCAGACUAGAGGUAGGUAGGGGAGAAUGGAAUUCCCGGUGUAGCGGUGAAAUGCGCAGAUAUCGGGAGGAACACCGGUGGCGAAGGCAGAUCUCUGGGCCGUAACUGACGCUGAGGAGCGAAAGCGUGGGGAGCGAACAGG
rnacentral:rRNA from 1 species